UGGGGAAUAUUGGAUAAUGGGCGAAAGCCUGAUCCAGCCAUGCCGCGUGUGUGAAGAAGGUCUUCGGAUUGUAAAGCACUGUAAGUUGGGAGGAAGGGCAGUAAGCGAAUACCUUGCUGUUUUGACGUUACCGACAGAAUAAGCACCGGCUAACUCUGUGCCAGCAGCCGCGGUAAUACAGAGGGUGCAAGCGUUAAUCGGAAUUACUGGGCGUAAAGCGCGCGUAGGUGGUUCGUUAAGUUGAAUGUGAAAGCCCCGGGCUCAACCUGGGAACUGGAUCCAAAACUGGCGAGCUAGAGUAGGGCAGAGGGUGGUGGAAUUGCCUGUGUAGCGGUGAAAUGCGUAGAUAUAGGAGGGAACACCAGUGGCGAAGGCGACCACCUGGGCUCAUACUGACACUGAGGUGCGAAAGCGUGGGGAGCAAACAGG
rnacentral:rRNA from 1 species